rnacentral:miRNA from 1 species
GGUUGGGGUUUGAGGCGCGGGCAACGAAAAUUAGGGAGGCGAGGCACAGGAAGGGGAAAAUGCAGGCGAGAAAAGGCGAGGUUUUCUCGCCUGCAUUUUCCCCUUCCCGCGCCUCGCCUCCCUAAUUUCCGUUGCCCGUGCCUCAACCCCAACCCU